ensembl:lncRNA
GUGUGUGUGUGUGUGUGUGUGUGUGGAAAGUUACUAUUUUGGAGAUAUGAGGUUUUCCUCCAACAGCAGUGAUAUACUGUGCAGAAAAUUAAAAAUAGAACAGCGAUGGGGUUCAGCUCAGUUCAGACAGCAGCAGAUCAGUCCUUCAGCUCAGUAAGGGGCUGUUAGUGGGCUGAUACGUUGGGAACAGAGAAGACAGUAAACAUCGCAGGGCGGUGGGCCUCCAGGACCCGGGCUGAGAAACGCCGCACACCCCACUGCUACAUCAGCCUCAUAAAUCCCCUCAGGCUUAGGGGAAACUGGAAAUUUGACAUUCAGACUAUGUGUGGCGAACGUUUGUUGUUUAGCAGCUCAUUUUAAACCGAUUUUUUCCGUUGUCUUCGCGAAACUCGUUUCUCCUUCAGGGAAUGGGCCGCGGUGCUGUUGGGGUGUUAAUGUGGAGCUUCAGCUUUACCAGCAGAAAUUCACCAGGCCUAAUGCCAAGCGUGGGCUAGAGGGGUAUAAAGCCCCCCAGCACUGGGCUGUGAAGCAGUGGAACUGUGUUCUCUGGAGUGAUGGAGCUCCAUCCAGUACCUUUGGGAUGAGUUGGAGUGACCCAGAACUGACCAUCCAACAUCAGUGCCUGACCUCACUAAUGCUCAAUCAAAUCCUCACAGCAAUGUUCAACAUCUAGAGGCUGUUACUGCACCACACUGGAGGAGCAGGCAGACGUAUAGCGGGCCGUACGUCGGCUCCGACUGGUUGUUUAUCGUUGUUUGUAUUGUGUUUUGUUCUCUGUAGUCUUAUUGUAAAUAUUGACUUUUGUGCUGUUGUGUUCCGUCACCGGUGUCGACCAAACGAGGAUGGGUUCCCCUUCAGAGUCUUGGUUCCUCUCAUGGUUUCUUCCUCUUGUUCUUAGGGAGAUUGUCCUUGCCACUGUCGCCACUGGCGACGCUCAUGGGGGCUCGGACCCGGAUUUCUUUCCUGUAAUGCUGACUGUUCUGUAAAGCUGCUUUGUGACCACACCUGUUGUAAAAAGUGCUGCACUAAAUAAACUUUGCUGGCCUCACCUGCUAAUCUGCCGCUCUGUGAUAAAAGACUGCGGUUCCAGGGGAACUAGAUAUUGUUCCUCUGUCAACACUUGGCUGUGAAAAGUGACAGUAGGGCUUGAGCUGACUUCAGUUAUGACCGUCUAACGACGUGGAGGAGAACAUAUGACCCAUAGUACCUACAGCCACAGUGUGGUAUAAAUGAUGACACUAAUAUAAUCAGAUAGAACUACAGUAGGAUGAAAAGUAGAGGUUUAUCUUGAGGUGUCGCUCAAGAUUCCCAAAGAGAAGAAUGUAAAAACAAUACCAAGAAAGCUGCAGAGGAUAUAAAACAUUAUAAAUGUGCAGAACAUGUGACAGAGAAUGAAUAAAAGGAGAUAACACAAUGACAUAAGAUACAUAAGAGUGCUCAGAAGAACAGCUGAACAACCUGGAAUCAGCCAGAAAUGAACCCAACACCAUUCGCCAGACGUGUCUGAUCUUCAGAGUCGGACCAAAUCAGACUGAGCCGUAAAACUGACCCAAUAUCAGGUUCAGCUCAGUUUGGUCAGUUUCUCCAGAUCAGUAUUAAUGUUGUUUUGUUCCAGCCGGUCUG